rnacentral:rRNA from 1 species
GAUGAACGCUAGCGGCAGGCCUAACACAUGCAAGUCGAGGGGCAGCACAGAAACAGCAAUGUUUUGGUGGCGACCGGCGGACGGGUGCGUAACGCGUAUGCAACCUACCUUUAACAGGGGGAUAACGGAGAGAAAUUUCCACUAAUACCCCAUAACAUCGAUCAAGGCAUCUUGAUUGGUUGAAAACUCCGGUGGUUAAAGAUGGGCAUGCGUUGUAUUAGGUAGGUGGUGAGGUAAUGGCUCACCAAGCCUACGAUACAUAGGGGGACUGAGAGGUUAACCCCCCACACUGGUACUGAGACACGGACCAGACUCCUACGGGAGGCAGCAGUGAGGAAUAUUGGUCAAUGGGGGCAACCCUGAACCAGCCAUGCCGCGUGCAGGAAGACGGCUCUAUGAGUUGUAAACUGCUUUUAAACAGGGAUAAAGCACAGUAUGUAUACUGUGUUGAAGGUACUGUAAGAAUAAGAAUCGGCUAACUCCGUGCCAGCAGCCGCCGUAA